GGCAGAGAAGUAUUGAGAGGAAGGGGGCUGGACGAUUCCAAGAACUGGAAAAGGAAUAUAUUGACGAAGUUGGAUCAAUACAGUGGGUUAAAAAUGGAGAACUUGGUUUUAAUGGAGAAAGGAUUUUAGUUGGAGCAUAAGAUCAGGGACGUCUAACAAAUGGCUUCAAAAAAAAUGGCAGGGAUCUCACAAAAUGACAAAUGCCAAUUCUGUGAUCCAGCUGUUGAGAGUGUAAACCAUCUAACAUCAGCAUGCCAGAUCCUCAUGGCAGACAGACAUUAUACAUCCCGACAGAACAAGAUCAGUCAAUAUCUCCACUGGAAAGUUUGCAAGGAACUGGAGAUGGAACU